rnacentral:rRNA from 1 species
AGCAGCCGCGGUAAUUCCAGCUCCAAUAGCGUAUAUUAAAGUUGUUGCAGUUAAAAAGCUCGUAGUUGAAUUUCGGGACCAUCAUGUCGGUCGUGCCUCGGUACGUACUGGCAUUGUUGGUUUCUCCCUUCUGACGAACCAUGAUGUCAUUUAUUUGGUGUCGUGGGAAAUCAGGACUGUUACUUUGAAAAAAUUAGAGUGUUUAAAGCAGGCUUUAGCUUGAAUACAUUAGCAUGGAAUAAUGAAAUAGGACGUUCGAACCUAUUUUGUUGGUUUCUAGGAUCAACGUAAUGAUUAAUAGGGAUAGUUGGGGGCAUUAGUAUUCAAUUGUCAGAGGUGAAAUUCUUGGAUUUAUUGAAGACUAACUACUGCGAAAGCAUUUGCCAAGGAUGUUUUCAUUAAUCAAGAACGAAGUUAGGGAUCGAAGACGAUCAGAUACCGUCGUAGUCU